rnacentral:lncRNA from 1 species
AGAAGGUACAGGUCUGCUUACCAUUGAAAGAAUCACUGUUUACUAAUACGUCAUUGAUUUCGGUUCUGGAUUCAGUUUAAAAAAAUAUUACACACGCAGAUAUAUGUGUGGAAAGAAAGAAUGGGAGAAAAAGUGAAUAAAAACACCAUGGAAAAAUUAAUUUGGUAAUACGAAGCAUGGGCUACAUUUCCUGAUUUCAUUUUGUGAUUUGAUGUUAGUCAGUAAACCUGUGAUUAUAUGCUACCCACAGUGAAGGUGAAUUCCAUAUAUCCAAUGAAGUUUUUCAGAAAACAUCUUAGCUUCUUACAGAAGAAGAAGCAUGAAAUGGCUUUUCACCUCCACCUGUAUGCUGUUUCUAAGCUCAUGAAGCUAGGAUUUGCCAUGGGGAACCUAGAGAGCAAGAGGAUUGCUCACUUAAGGGGAAACUAACUACCACGUUAUGCAGCUCUACUGUAAAAAUGCACAGGGUGAGAAACCAAGGCCUCCUUCUGACAGGAGCCACUUGCCGGUCAUGCUCUUCGAAAGACUGAAAAAAUUGACAGGACCAGAGAGAGUCCAUCUAGAAGAAUGUCAAACAAACCACUGAAGUAACGUGUUGACAAAAUAACAGCUCUAAUAAAUUGCAAUUUGACUAUAAAUAA